rnacentral:pre_miRNA from 1 species
UCUUCAUUCCGCCUACUCUCUCACCGGUCAGAGUGACACGAGAGAGUAUGUGAAAUGAAGAGA